rnacentral:lncRNA from 1 species
CAGGGUUGUGAGAGCUUGGCUAAAAUAAGGAACAAAAUAAUUCACUCUCUGAGGAUAUUUCCAAAAAGCGUUUGGUGAGACAGAGAGAAAUCCAGCUCCUCCCCGGCAGAGCAGGAGGACGGGCCUUCGCGGAGGCGUCCCCGCUGCGGCCAGCAUCCAUCACCUUCAGGAGCGCCGUGGAACCGCCGC